ACGGCCAUACUAUGCUAAAUAUAUCGGUUCGCGUUCGAUCACCGAAGUCAAGUAUCAUCGAGUACUUAGGAGGAUGACCACCUGGGAACACUACGUGCCGUUG